GACGAACGCUGGCGGCGUGCUUAACACAUGCAAGUCGAACGGAAGGGCCCUGCUUUUGUGGGGUGCUCGAGUGGCGAACGGGUGAGUAACACGUGAGUAACCUGCCCUUGACUUUGGGAUAACUUCAGGAAACUCGGGCUAAUACCGGAUAGGAGCUCCUGCUGCAUGGUGGGGGUUGGAAAGAUUCGGCGGUUGGGGAUGGACUCGCGGCUUAUCAGCUUGUUGGUGGGGUAGUGGCUUACCACGGCUUUGACGGGUAGCCGGCCUGAGAGGGUGAACGGCCACAAUGGGCCUGAGGGACGGACCAGACGCCUACGGGAGGCAGCAGUGGGGAGUCUUGCAGAAUGGGCGGACGCCUGAGACGGCAGCGCUCGGUGCGGGAUGACGGCUUUCGGGUUGUGAACCGCUGUCGCAUGUGACGAGGCGUGAGUGACGGUACUGGGUAAAGAAGCACCGGCUAACUACGUG
rnacentral:rRNA from 1 species